rnacentral:lncRNA from 1 species
CUGGCCCUGCUGGUGUGUAGUCGCGAUCUUCAGAGAAAUGUCCUUUAUGCUGAUAGAAAACGUCUAGUCAUCUAGGCAGCAUAACAUAAUUGGCGAUGAUGAGUUUGCUGACUGUUUGUGCUGUCAUUGUUCCAGGGCUCAGUUCCAAGCUGUGUGAGGAGAUCCGUGACACGUUUCGGUCACAUUUGACUGGAUCAGUGGCGCCGCACCAAAGUGCAGAGAAUCCCGUUCAACACUACAGCACACUGCUGAGUUUAGCCUCACUGCAAAGCAGCAGAAUCCCUCUCUGUGAUGAAUACACACAUCACCUCACGCAUGGCUGGACUACUGCUGCCUGUCCACAGCCUCACCACAGUCAGGUAGGUACCCAUAGUCAGACACAAGUCUGUAUCCCAAAUGGCACCCUAUAUAGUGCACUACUUUUGACCAUAGUGCACUACUUUUGA